rnacentral:rRNA from 1 species
GAUGAACGCUGGCGGCGUGCUUAACACAUGCAAGUCGAACGGUGAAAGAGAGCUUGCUCUCUGGAUCAGUGGCGAACGGGUGAGUAACACGUGAGCAAUCUGCCCCUGACUCUGGGAUAAGCGCUGGAAACGGCGUCUAAUACCGGAUACGAGCUGCGAAGGCAUCUUCAGCAGCUGGAAAGAACUUCGGUCAGGGAUGAGCUCGCGGCCUAUCAGCUAGUUGGUGAGGUAACGGCUCACCAAGGCGUCGACGGGUAGCCGGCCUGAGAGGGUGACCGGCCACACUGGGACUGAGACACGGCCCAGACUCCUACGGGAGGCAGCAGUGGGGAAUAUUGCACAAUGGGCGAAAGCCUGAUGCAGCAACGCCGCGUGAGGGACGACGGCCUUCGGGUUGUAAACCUCUUUUAGCAGGGAAGAAGCGAAAGUGACGGUACCUGCAGAAAAAGCGCCGGCUAACUACGUG